GGAAUAUUGCUCAAUGGGAGAAAUCCUGAAGCAGCAACGCCGCGUGGAGGAUGAAGGGUCUAUGACUUGUAAACUCCUGUAAAGAAGGAAAAAAUUCCCAUUUGAUGGGAGAUGAUGGUACUUCUGGAGUAAGCCCCGGCUAACUACGUGCCAGCAGCCGCGGUAAUACGUAGGGGGCAAGCGUUGUCCGGAUUUACGGGGUGUAAAGGGUGCUCAGGCGGAUUUGUAAGUCAGAGGUGAAAUCUUACAGCUUAACUGUGAAACUGCCUUUGAUACUGCAAGCCUAGAGUAUGGAAGAGAGUGAUGGAAUAUCUGGUGUAGCAGUGAAAUGCGUAGAUAUCAGAUAGAACACCUAUGGCGAAGGCAGUCACUUGGUCCAUUACUGACGCUAAAGCACGAAAGCGUGGGUAGCAAGCA
rnacentral:rRNA from 1 species